UUACAAAAGCCUCGCAGCCAUCAUCCAAAUCCAAUGAUGAAGAUUUUCUUUCUGAUCGUUAUCCUCCUGGGUGUUGUUUUCAGCAUGUCAGCAGCGGAAACUGACAUCACUGGGAUGCAGACAACCACGAUCCCAGAAGGAGCAAGGAUCGUGCGCAGCGCCGCCUUUGAAGAAGUCGAACAAGAGCAGAAAAAGGAUGAACCAAAAGGUUGUUGCGGCUAAACAGUACCUCAUUGGCAUGGUGAUGGUGUUGCAGGAUACAUAACAUGUCUCGUAUUAUCAAUAAAAAAGCAAUAUUUUGAAAAUCCA
rnacentral:sRNA from 1 species